rnacentral:rRNA from 1 species
AGCAGCCGCGGUAAUUCCAGCUCCAAUAGCGUAUAUUAAAGUUGUUGCAGUUAAAAAGCUCGUAGUUGAAUUUCGGGGUUAGUAGGUUGGUCAUGCCUCUGGUAUGUACUGGUCUCACUGAUUCCUCCUUCCUGAUGAACCUUAAUGCCAUUUAUUUGGUGUUUUGGGGAAUUUGGACUGUUACUUUGAAAAAUUAGAGUGUUUAAAGCAAGCUAACGCUUGAAUACAUUAGCAUGGAAUAAUGAAAUAGGACGUUCGAUCCUAUUUUGUUGGUUUCUAGGAUUGACGUAAUGAUUAAUAGGGAUAGUUGGGGGCAUUAGUAUUCAAUUGUCAGAGGUGAAAUUCUUGGAUUUAUUGAAGACUAACUACUGCGGAAGCAUUUGCCAAGGAUGUUUUCAUUAAUCAAGAACGAAAGUUAGGGGAUCGAAGACGAUCAGAUACCGUCGUAGUCUUAACCAUAAACUAUGCCGACUAGGGAUCGGAUGAUGUUAAUUUUUUAAUGACUCA